rnacentral:rRNA from 1 species
CCUACGGGGGGCAGCAGUGGGGAAUAUUGCGCAAUGGGCGAAAGCCUGACGCAGCGACGCCGCGUGAGGGAUGAAGGUCUUCGGAUCGUAAACCUCUGUCAGCAGGGAAGAACGGUCACUGUGCUAAUCAGCAGUGCAUUUACGGUACCUGCAAAGGAAGCACCGGCUAACUCCGUGCCAGCAGCUGCGGUAAUACGGAGGGUGCGAGCGUUAAUCGGAUUUACUGGGCGUAAAGGGCUCGUAGGAUGUAUGUCAAGUCAAGGGUGAAAUCCCGGCGCUCAACGAGGGAACUGCCUUUGAAACUGGCAAACUGGAGUGUGUGAGAGGAUAGUGGAAUUCCAGGUGUAGGAGUGAAAUCCGUAGAUAUCUGGAGGAACAUCAGUGGCGAAGGCGACUAUCUGGCACAUAACUGACGCUGAGGAGCGAAAGCGUGGGUAGCAAACAGGAUUAGAUACCCCUGUAGUC